UGUCCAGUAACUCCUAUCCCUACCUCCUCGCGGUACUGGCCGGGGUACGAGUAACCUUAGGGAAGAUCGGGUAACCAACCCUGGUGGGACCUUGGUCGUAUGCUGACAGGGAAGG
rnacentral:ribozyme from 1 species